GGGGAGAUGGCUCAGUAGGUAAGAGCACUUGCUGUCCAUGCAUGAGGGCCUGAGUUUGAAUUUCCUGUCUCCACA
rnacentral:tRNA from 1 species